AACUUUUAGCAAUGGAUCACUUGGCUCUCGCAUCGAUGAAGAACGCAGCGAAAUGCGAUAAGUAAUGUGAAUUGCAGAAUUCAGGGAAUCAUCGAAUCUUUGAACGCACCUUGCACCCUUUGGCAUUCCGAAGGGUAUGCUCGUUUGAGUGUCAUUGUACUCUCACACUCCCGAUGCUUUUGGAUUUGGAGUGGUGGACUUGGGUGUUGCUGCUUUACUGUGGCUCACCUCAAAUGGAGUAGUGCAACUAAUGGUUGGACAUAGUACGGCGUGAUAAGUGUCUUCGCCGGCGCCUCAUUAGAGGGUGGCCGAUCGGGAGCUCUGUGCUUCAAACCGUCUUCGGACAACAUCUGACAACUUGACCUCAAAUCGAGUAGGACUACCCGCUGAACUUAAGCAUAUCAAUAAGCGGAGCU
rnacentral:misc_RNA from 1 species